rnacentral:lncRNA from 1 species
UCUAGAUGUUUGAAUAUUCAAAACAAGUAUUAUGCUAAGAAUGAUCAGGGCUGGAGAUACAGCUUUGGAGAUCACCAGCACUAGCUGAAAUCAUGGGAAUCCAUGAGAUUAAGCAGAAAGUGGGUUGAGAGUAGGAAGUAGACAGCCAAGGAUGGAAGCAUGGGUAAUACCAGUGCCCACGGUGGGGCAGAAGAGGAGGUUGUGAUACAGCAAACUGAAAAGAAAACAUUAGAGAAAGACAAGUGUGAAAAAUUAUAAAACUGUGUUACAAAUUCCAGGUAAGGAGAGUUUCAAGGAGUGAAUGGUCAACCACCAAGCCCAGUGAGGUCAAAUAACAUGACAGAAAAAGACUCAUGGACUUGGCAGGUAGGAGAUCACCAGCCAGUGGCCUUAGAGCCACUCAGGGGAGUGGUGGCCAGAGCCAGACCACAGCGGCAUGAAGACUGUGAGGAGAUGAAAAUGUGGAGUGAAGAAACUUUGAUAGGAAGGAAGAAGAAAGGAAGACACUCAGAAGCUGAAGCAGAGGCUUUGAGGAGAUGUUUUUCUGUUAGGGAAAUUAGUUAUGUAUUUGUGGAUAUCAAGGAAAGGAACCAGUGGAAAUGGAGACAUCAAAGUCACCAGAAAGGAAAUGGACAGGCCAGGCACGGUGGUUCACGCCUGUAAUCCCAUCACUCUGGGAGGCUGAGGCGGGUGGAUCACCUGAGGUCAGGAGUUCGAGACCAACCUGGCCAACGUGGAGAAACCCCAUCUCUACUAAAAAUACAAAAUUAGCCGGGCAUGGUGGCGCAUGCCUGUAAUUGCAGCUACCUAGGAGGCUGAGGCAGGAGAAUUGCUUGAACUCGGGAGAUGGAGGUUGUGGUGAGCCAAGAUCGCAACACUGCACUGCAGUCUGGCCAACAAAAGCAAAACUCCGUCUCAAAAAAAAAAAAGAAAAAAAAAUGGACAGGUAAUUUAGCAAGACAGCAAGGGAAUAAACUCAACAGCAAAGAUGGAAAAUUUAGCCUUGAAAAGAAGGGAAAUUUCUGAGGCUGGAAGGAAAGAGAUAAGCAGACCUACUUAUAGCUGGGUUGAUUUAGUUUCUGUUGGCUGGGAAAUGAGUAAAGAUGGG